UCAUCAGCCACGGUCAAUCCACUGCUGGCUGAAGGUCCCUCUCUCUUCUCUUUCGUUAAAUGGUCCAACGUUUCACGGGUCCCCCACGGAAUGCGGCGUCAUCUCUCCCCGAGUGCAACUCGGCGCAAUGCGAUGUUGAUUUAGAUCGCGUCGAGGCAAUAUACUACAAUGGAACGUGGAAUUGUACCCCCAAAUGGAUGAGGACCGCAGGGGGAAAUGAACACCUGCCAACCAAGGCUCCUGAGAGAAGAGUGGCAGCUCUUGGUUGUCAGCAGGGGGCCGUGCAACAAAUACAUUGUUGUACUGCACUACGCGUCGACGUCUACGCUCCCCGACUGCACAAACCCGCAUUGAUGAGCGUGAAUGUUCACGGCUGAAUUCAACAUCGACGUAGGACGACGUUUCACUCGAUGGAAGUUCCCCGUGCAGCAACACACAACGCUGGGACCACUUGGAGGUGCAUCACGCGGCGUUAUGAUGGCGGUGGUGCUGCUGCUGCUGCGUUGCCAAUGCUGCACAAGCACAGCCAACGACAACACUCAACCCAUCGUCAAUAACACUGUGGCCUGACAAGAGAAGACAUUUAUAGGCGACGUCUCGGCCAAUGGCCCCACUUCCUAGCCCUUAAACAGAAAUACCAGAGAGAGGGUUGAAGAUUGAACUUAAUACCAUGGCGCCCGAUGAAAAUCACACAUUAUUAUUUUUAUAUAUGAUGACCAGUUUCUAAAUGGUCAUAUGAAUAGCUACCUAACAGUAGCUAUCGGGUUCCAUACAAUCACUUAAGUAGUCAAACAGCGUUCCUACAUAAAACGAAUUAAUACAUUAAAAAAAAGUGAAAUUAUAAAACGUGACUUCAGUUUCCGGCGUGACCACCAUCAGCAACGGGGCCCGGAGCGCGAGGAGUCGAAGCGUUCCCUUCGAGGCCGAGUGCCCCUCGCGGCGUGCCGGGGUCCGUGAGACGGGCGACAGCGCCACCUGGCGGCCACCUCGGCCCCGUGGUGGUCACUGCUACGCGGGUUUUUCUCCCGGUCCCUCCGGGUUUUCCCAACUCCACAUUAAGAAUAAACGCCACGCUACUGCUACACGAUGGUGGGAAGCCACUUCGUUGAGCUAUCAUUUGUGAUCGCCAGGUCGCUUCUAAAAUAAGAGCUAUUUCGGUCAGUAGGGCCUUGACCUGGUAAAAUAAAAAAAAAAUUAUGGGGCCGUCCAUAAAUGACGUCACGCGAUUUUUGACGUUUUUUGACCCCCCUCCUUCGUCACAC